CCUGCAAGAGGAGAGGAGAAAUCACUCAGGAGGAGGACAGCCAACGUGUUUCUAUCACCGACUUUAAACGCCACUUUAAUCUACAGACAUUCAGAAGUGAACCUGAAGGCAGCAUGACCAUCAGGGAGAAACUCUCCGUUGGAAUAAUAUUAAAGCAGCUGCUUCCUUGUUGUGCAGACUCUUAAUAAAUGAUUCAUGAGCUACAUGUUUAUGGCAUCUGUUGCUAAUGAUUAAUUCUGCUCCACAAACCACCUCGCACUGACGAGACUCAGGAUGAACUUAAAGUAGUUUACACAUAUUUUACAGAUGUUCCUGAGGUGUGUUACAGAUGUUCCUGAGGUAGGAGGUGUGUUACAGAUGUUCCUGAGGUGUGUUACAGAUGUUCUUGAGGUGGGAGGUGUGUUACAGAUGUUCCUGAGGUGUGUUACAGAUGUUUCUGAGGUGUGUUACAGAUGUUUCUGAGGUGGGAGGUGUGUUACAUAUGUUCCUGAGGUGCGAGGUGUGUUACAGAUGUUUCUGAGGUGUGUUACAGAUGUUCCUGAGGUGGGAGGUGUGUUACAGAUGUUCCUGAGGUGU